CCUACGGGAGGCAGCAGUAGGGAAUAUUGCUCAAUGGGGGAAACCCUGAAGCAGCAACGCCGCGUGGAGGAUGAAGGUUUUCGGAUUGUAAACUCCUGUUGUUAGAGAAGAUAAUGACGGUAUCUAACGAAUAAGCAUCGGAUAACUUCGUGCCAGCAGCCGCGGUAAUACGGAGGGUGCAAGCGUUAUUCGGAAUCAAUGGGCGUAAAGAGCGCGGAGGCGGGGUAGCAAGUCAGAUGUGAAAUCCUCUGGCUUAACCAUAGAACUGCAUUUGAAACUGUUAUACUAGAGUGUGGGAGAGGUGAGUGGAAUUAUAGGUGUAGGGGUAAAAUCCGUAGAGAUUUAGAGGAAUACUCGUUGCGAAGGCGACCUGCUAGAACAUAACUGACGCUGAUGCGCGAAAGCGUGGGGAGCAAACAGGAUUAGAUACCCCUGUAGUC
rnacentral:rRNA from 1 species